GUGAGUACGCGUGGGAUCUACCCAUCACUACGGAACAACUCCGGGAAACUGGAGCUAAUACCGUAUACGUCCUUCGGGAGAAAGAUUUAUCGGUGAUGGAUGAGCCCGCGUUGGAUUAGCUAGUUGGUGGGGUAAUGGCCUACCAAGGCGACGAUCCAUAGCUGGUCUGAGAGGAUGAUCAGCCACACUGGGACUGAGACACGGCCCAGACUCCUACGGGAGGCAGCAGUGGGGAAUAUUGGACAAUGGGCGAAAGCCUGAUCCAGCCAUGCCGCGUGAGUGAUGAAGGCCCUAGGGUUGUAAAGCUCUUUCAACGGUGAAGAUAAUGACGGUAACCGUAGAAGAAGCCCCGGCUAACUUCGUGCCAGCAGCCGCGGUAAUACGAAGGGGGCUAGCGUUGUUCGGAAUUACUGGGCGUAAAGCGCACGUAGGCGGAUUGUUAAGUGAGGGGUGAAAUCCCAGGGCUCAACCCUGGAACUGCCUCUCAUACUGGCAAUCUCGAGUUCGAGAGAGGUGAGUGGAAUUCCGAGUGUAGAGGUGAAAUUCGUAGAUAUUCGGAGGAACACCAGUGGCGAAGGCGGCUCACUGGCUCGAUACUGACGCUGAGGUGCGAAAGCGUGGGGAGCAAACAGG
rnacentral:rRNA from 1 species